rnacentral:rRNA from 1 species
UACGGAGGGUGCAAGCGUUAUCCGGAUUCACUGGGUUUAAAGGGUGCGUAGGCGGGUGUGUAAGUCAGUGGUGAAAUCUUCGAGCUUAACUCGGAAACUGCCGUUGAUACUACAUGUCUUGAAUACCGUGGAGGUGAGCGGAAUAUGUCAUGUAGCGGUGAAAUGCUUAGAUAUGACAUAGAACACCAAUUGCGAAGGCAGCUCACUACACGAAUAUUGACUCUGAGGCACGAAAGCGUGGGGAUCAAACAGG